AUUGAACGCUGGCGGCAGGCCUAACACAUGCACGUCGAACGAGUGGCGGACGGGUGAGUCAUGUCUGGGAAACUGCCUGAUGGAGGGGGAUCACUACUGGAAACGGUAGCUAAUACCGCAUACCAUCGGAUGUGCCCAGAUGGGAUUAGCUAGUAGGUGGGGUAACGGCUCACCUAGGCCACGAUCCCUAGCUGGUCUGAGAGGAUGACCAGCCACACUGGAACUGAGACACGGUCCAGACGCCUACGUGAGGCGGCAGUGGGGAAUAUUGCACAAUGGGCGCAAGCCUGAUGCAGCCAUGCCGCGUGUGUGAAGAAGGCCUUCGGGUUGUAAAGCACUUUCAGCGGGGAGGGGUUACCCGCAGAAGAAGCACCGGCUAACUCCGUGCCAGCAGCCGCGGUAAUAC
rnacentral:rRNA from 1 species